GUCCAGACCAGCAGAGACCCAGCGUAACAAAAGUCGCCUUGAACUGAAAAUUAAGAGAGACGUGCUACAAAUAUUAAGAUGCCACUGACAGAGAAAAUCGGACACAUUUUGAACCUAAGCCUUAAACUGCAAACCGCAAGGGCAAACACUCCUGAGUGUGGACGCUGAGUUCCUUUCUAGCUACUUUUCACGAAACAUUCAGCUUUCUUCACGGAUAUUCGCUGCAGCCUAAAAAUUCAACGUCAGGAAAGUGUUUAAAGAAAUGUCCAACGAUGAGGAACAGAAGGAAAAUGAUUCAAGGAAAGAACCAUCACGUAGACAUUCGGAGCGACGUGGAAGAAGAAGAUGGGAGUCGUGACAAACCUUCACGAUGACCGUGGGAAAAAGGCAAGUUACAAAGGAGUUUGGAUUGUCCAGUUCCCAUUUUUCUUU